UGGACACAAACUAUCAACUUGUGUAAAGUUCAGGGAGUAAUUAUUUUAUCACUUCAGGGACUGUUGUAUUAAGCUUUUGUGUUGAAUCUUUUUUGUGUUGCCUUUGUUUUGAUGUUAGAUUCAGUUUGAAGACACUCUGACACAAAAAGCAAAAAUGAGGAGGGGUCCAGUGUUUCUCACAGCAACGUACGAGGCUCCUCCUACUGACUGCACAUGUGGCUGCUUCACAGCUGGAUUGCAGCUGUGAUCAUCAGACCCACAACAACAGUGUGUCACCUCUGAACAUGGACACACUCGCUGCACUUCUGUUCGUUUCAGCUCUCGUAGGUAACAGCUUGGAAGAUGAUAUUACUGCCAUCAGAACUGAAGUGUUUUCAUCAGAGGGUCGUAGCGUUACUGUCUCCUGUAAAUACUCAGUUAAAGCUCAGAAUCUCCAGUGGUACCGACAGGAUGCUGGAUCAGCUCCUCAGUAUCUACUCCUGAUCACUGAUACGAAACAGCCUGAAGUGAUUCACGCAAAGCCCUCAAACCCUCGACUGACUGCUAAACUGAACGACCAGAGAAAUCAAGUGGAUCUGGAGAUCUCCUCUGCUGCAGUGUCUGACUCUGCUGUGUACUACUGUGCUCUGCAGCCCACAGUGACAGGAAACACCUCAACUCUGUACAAAAACCUCUGGAGCAAAGACAACACAAUGCUCCACAGCAUCCACCAGAGGGAGACACUGUGAGAAACUUCAGGAGUUUCAGACCAGAAAUGCUUGAACAACUAUGAAACUCAUCUAAUACACCUGUUUCUUGUUAGGGAUAUGAAAGGAGCAUGAUAACUGGGAUUAUAGCCUCUGAGUGGAGAUAAUCAUGCUAUAAUUUAGGUUCACAAAUUCAGACCAGAAACGUCCAAACAACUAAAGCAAGAAUGAUCUAACUGCAUUCUUUUUCUUCAGCUUUCUUUCUGCAGCUCAGUGGAUCCACAUCUGACAUUAUACAUCUGGCAAGACAGAGACAUACAACCAUUCACACACACACUCACACCUACGGGCAAUGGAGAGAGCCAAUCAACCUAAUGCACGUCUUUUGACUGUGGGAGGAACCCGGAGAGAACCCACGCAAACACGGGGUUCUCUCACCUCCAGGAAUCGAACCCAGAGGGUUCGUGAGGCGGCGCUGCCGCCCACUGUCUGCAACCACUCCGUUUAACAUCAGUGACUGAACCUCAGCUACAGACCAGCAAGAGCUGAUUACCUGACUCCGCCCACUGAAGUCCAGCUCAACCAAUGAGCUUCUCUGUGUCUCCAGAGCAGAAAUGGAGGAAUUCAAAGCACCAUCCUCCUGAUGCUGAGGAGAAGGGCUGUGCAGCAGAGAGGCUGUUGACUUGUUUCCUUCUACUGCAGUGGAAGAACAUUGUUCAUCUACUGUCUGUUUGGCUCCAACUGCUCCAACGACAUGUUGCUUUACCUCUGUCUUUGUUU